ACUGUUUAGCAAAAACACAGGUCUCUGCUAAAGCGUAAGCUGAUGUAUAGGGGCUGACGCCUGCCCGGUGCUGGAAGGUUAAGGGGAACACUUAGCGCAAGCGAAGGUGUGAACUUAAGCCCCAGUAAACGGCGGCCGUAACUAUAACGGUCCUAAGGUAGCGAAAUUCCUUGUCAGGUAAGUUCUGACCCGCACGAAUGGCGUAAUGACUUGGGCACUGUCUCAACUGUAAAUCCGGCGAAGUUGUAGUGCGAGUGAAGAUGCUCGCUACCCGCGAUUGGACGGAAAGACCCCGUAGAGCUUUACUGUAGCUUAGCAUUGAGUUUUGGUAUUGUCUGUACAGG
rnacentral:rRNA from 1 species